GUUAUGAGACCGGCAAACGGGUGCGGAACACGUACGCAACCUUCCCAAAACUGGUGAAUAGCCCUCCGAAAGGAGGAUUAAAACACCGUAACUUAAUGAAGUGGCAUCACUUUAUUAAUAUAGCUCCGGCGGUUUUGGAUGGGCGUGCGCCUGAUUAGGUAGUUGGCGGGGUAACGGCCCACCAAGCCUACGAUCAGUAACUGGUGUGAGAGCACGACCAGUCACACGGGCACUGAGACACGGGCCCGACUCCUACGGGAGGCAGCAGUAAGGAAUAUUGGUCAAUGGACGCAAGUCUGAACCAGCCAUGCCGCGUGAAGGAUGACGGCCCUCUGGGUUGUAAACUUCUUUUAUCUGGGACGAAAAAAGGUCAUUCUUGAUCACUUGACGGUACCAGAGGAAUAAGCACCGGCUAACUCCGUGCCAGCAGCCGCGGUAAUACGGAGGGUGCAAGCGUUAUCCGGAUUUACUGGGUUUAAAGGGUGCGUAGGUGGGUCUGUAAGUCAGUGGUGAAAUCUCCGAGCUUAACUCGGAAACUGCCAUUGAUACUAUAGGUCUUGAAUUAUCUGGAGGUGAGCGGAAUAUGUCAUGUAGCGGUGAAAUGCUUAGAUAUGACAUAGAACACCAAUUGCGAAGGCAGCUCACUACGGAUCGAUUGACACUGAGGCACGAAAGCGUGGGGAUCAAACAGGAUUAGAUACCCUGGUAGUCCACGCCCUAAACGAUGGAUACUCGACAU
rnacentral:rRNA from 1 species